CAGUCGCCGCGGGAAUACGGAGGGUGCAAGCGUUAUCCGGAUUUAUUGGGUUUAAAGGGUCCGUAGGCGGAUCUGUAAGUCAGUGGUGAAAUCUCACAGCUUAACUGUGAAACUGCCAUUGAUACUGCAGGUCUUGAGUAAAUUUGAAGUGGCUGGAAUAAGUAGUGUAGCGGUGAAAUGCAUAGAUAUUACUUAGAACACCAAUUGCGAAGGCAGGUCACUAAGAUUUAACUGACGCUGAUGGACGAAAGCGUGGGGAGCGAACAGGAUUAGAUACCCCAGUAGUCCCUGUCUCUUAUAA
rnacentral:rRNA from 1 species